CAGCCGCCGCGGUAAUACGGAGGGUGCAAGCGUUAAUCGGAAUUACUGGGCGUAAAGCGCACGCAGGCGGUCUGACAAGUCAGAUGUGAAAUCCCCGGGCUCAACCUGGGAACUGCAUUUGAAACUGGCAAGCUAGAGUCUCGUAGAGGGGGGUAGAAUUCCAGGUGUAGCGGUGAAAUGCGUAGAGAUCUGGAGGAAUACCGGUGGCGAAGGCGGCCCCCUGGACGAAGACUGACGCUCAGGUGCGAAAGCGUGGGGAGCAAACAGGAUUAGAUACCCGUGUAGUCCCUGUCUCUUAUAC
rnacentral:rRNA from 1 species